rnacentral:lncRNA from 1 species
AUUGUUGACUCCUAAGUCCAUGUCUCCGGCUAUAUCCAUCCCCUCACUACAAGAUGUAUGAAUCCAAGUGCUGACUAUGUAUCUCCCGAUAUUGUUCCACAGCCAUCGAAAACAAAGCGUGUGCACACUGAGCAUAGUGAUCAAGCAUGAAGAUCCUGGAGACUUCAUGUUGUACAGAGUUAACUCCAGUUCCCUCCCUUGCUGCUUAACCACAGGCCAAGUGACUGACAACAUAAUGGCAAAACCUGAAGCGAAAUUGCCAAGGUAUUUUCUCUGAAGCCAACUUUGAAUGUGGAAGCAGAAGAGAAUCAUCAGAGUGACUCGAUCAACACCUUCAUUUCAUCAAACAAGCACAUAUAAUACUUACACUAUGCCAGGAACUGUUCUCAGCACAUCAAAAAUGCUAACUUUUGUUCUUUAAUAAAUC